GGCGGAAGAGAGCAGGGCCCUGGGCAGGUGCUGAGCCAGGUCCUGCAGGUCACCCAGUCGCUUGAGUCCACGAAUGCUGGAGGCAGGCACUGGAGAGCCAGGGUGGUUCAGCCGCAGCUCCUCUGAGCAGGGAGUCAAACAGGGCUGAAACAGACACCAGCUCUCCAGGACCAGCUGGAGCCUGGACCUGUGGCCUUCCCUGCCUCCACCUGGGCCUCAACCGUCACGACCACCUGGCCUUUGAGGUGUAUCUCGUUUCUCAUCAUAAGAGCUCUUCCGCUCGUGUGGCAGCUGGGAGUGGCCGUCAUUGCCUGCGCAUACCUAAACUUGGUCAGCAGCCAAGUGUUUUGUGAGACCUAAGAAAGGAAGAGCCCCAUAAGUAAAUGGAACUGUUGUGUUGUUUUAUUACCGAGAAAAGGGCAGAAUGAUUGCUAGUCACACGUGAAGCAAGAAAACCCCGGCAAUAAAGCUUGCAGAAUGAGUGGCUGAGGCUUGAAAAUAAAUGGUGGAAACAAUAGUGGACAAUCUUUUAAAGAAUGGCACAUUGCCAAUGCUCCUGAUGGCACAGAAGGUGACACCAUGCAGAAAAUCAAGGCUCUGAGUCAAAGAGGGUUUCAGAAAAAUUGGACUCUGAAUGUGAAGAAAUCUGGGGACUAUUUUAGCCAAUUUGUUUUGCCUAUAAUUUCCUUUUAUGCAUGCAAAAGAGCAAUUCUGACUUUAAAGACUGAUAUCUAAAUAAAUCUAAAAUAUCUUUUUUGUGUGUGUGUCUGUGAUACAGUGUCUCGCCCUUUCACCCAGGCUGGAGUGCAGUAGUGCAAUCUCAGCUCACU
rnacentral:lncRNA from 1 species